rnacentral:rRNA from 15 species
UAGAUUGUUCACCCACAUAGAGGGAACGUGGGCUGG